rnacentral:rRNA from 1 species
GUUAGGAAUAUUGGACAAUGGGCGAAAGCCUGAUCCAGCCAUGCCGCGUGAACGAUGAAGGCCUUCGGGUUGUAAAGUUCUUUAGCCGAUGAUUAUAAUGACUGUAGUCGGAAAAUAAGCCCCGGCUAACCUCGUGCCAGCAGCCGCGGUAAUACGAAGGGGGCGAGCGUUAUUCGGAAUCACUGGGCGUAAAGCGUGCGUAGGCGGUUUUGUAAGUUAGGAGUGAAAGCCCAGGGCUCAACCCUGGAAUUGCUCUCAAAACUGCAAGGCUCGAAUUCGGGAGAGGAUAGCGGAAUUGUCAGUGUAGCAGUGAAAUGCGUAGAUAUUGACAGGAACACCAGUGGCGUAAGCGGCUAUCUGGACCGAUAUUGACGCUGAGGCACGAAAGCGUGGGGAUCAAACAGGAUUAGAUACCCGGGUAGUCC